GUGAGGAAUAUUCCGCAAUGGGGGAAACCCUGACGGAGCAAUGCCGCGUGCAGGAUGAAGGCCCUCGGGUCGUAAACUGCUUUUAUAUGAGAAGAAUAUGACGGUAACAUAUGAAUAAGGGACGGCUAACUACGUGCCAGCAGCCGCGGUCAUACGUAGGUCCCAAGCGUUAUCCGGAGUGACUGGGCGUAAAGAGUUGCGUAGGCGGCUCGUUAAGCGUGAAAUGAAAUUUAUCGGCUCAACCGGUAAACUAUUUCGCGAACUGACGGGCUCGAGAGUAUGAGAGGUUACUGGAAUUUCUAGUGUAGCAGUGAAAUGCGUAGAUAUUAGAAAGAACACCAACGGCGUAGGCAGGUAACUGGCAUACAUCUGACGCUGAGGCACGAAAGCGUGGGGAGCGAACCGGAUUAGAAACCCCAGUAGUCC
rnacentral:rRNA from 1 species